rnacentral:rRNA from 1 species
CGCCGUUUGYGUUUUGCAYCUUAUCUUCGGAUGGGGCCCCUGMWSUUCAUCGGGCCAGCAUCAGUUUGSCAUGGUAGGAUAAUGACAUUGGAAUGUGACUUGGCUUCGGUUAAGUGUUAUARCCCUUGUUGAUACUGCCUGUCUAGACUGAGGACUGCGUCUUURACUAGGAUGCUGGCAUAAUGAUCCUAUAUCGCCCGUCUUGAAACACGGACCAAGGAGUCAAA